GAUGAAGAACGCAGCGAAAUGCGAUAUGUAGUGUGAAUUGCAGAAUUCAGUGAAUCAUCGAAUCUUUGAACGCACAUUGCGCCCGCCAGCAUUCUGGCGGGCAUGCCUGUUCGAGCGUCAUUUCAACCCUCGCAGCCCAUCUGGGCAGCGGUGUUGGGGACCGGCACCACCGGCGAAGCCCUUAGGGGCCCAGCCGGCGCCGCCCCCGAAAUACAGUGGCGGUCUCGCUGCAGCCUCCCUUGCGUAGUAGCACACCUCGCACCGGAGCGCAGCGCGGCCACGCCGUAAAACCCCCGACUUUCUGAGUUUGACCUCGAAUCAGGUAGGAAUACCCGCUGAACUUAAGCAUAUCAAUAAGCGGAGGA
rnacentral:misc_RNA from 1 species